rnacentral:rRNA from 1 species
AGUGAACGCUGGCGGUAGGCCUAACACAUGCAAGUCGAACGGCAGCACAGUAAGAGCUUGCUCUUACGGGUGGCGAGUGGCGGACGGGUGAGGAAUACAUCGGAAUCUACUUUUUCGUGGGGGAUAACGUAGGAAAAUUUACUCUAAUACCGCAUACAACCUCCGGGUGAAAGCAGGGGUUCUUCGGACCUUGCGCGAUUGAAUAAGCCGAUGUCGGAUUAGCUAGUUGGCGGGGUAAAGGCCCACCAAGGCGACGAUCCGUAGCUGGUCUGAGAGGAUGAUCAGACACACUGUAACUGAGACACGGUUCAGACUCCUACGGGAGGCAGCAGUGGGGAAUAUUGGACAAAGGGCGCAAGCCUGAUCCAGCCAUACCGCGUGGGUGAAGAAGGCCUUCGGGUUGUAAAGCCCUUUUGUUGGGAAAGAAAAGCAGCAGGUUAAUACCCCGCUGUUCUGACGGUACCCAAAGAAUAAGCACCGGCUAACUUCGUG